AAUUACACAGAAUUCUCUGAGCACAACAGGGAGAACAUUAUUCUCCCCAUUUUAUAAAUAAGGAAACUGAGACUCUAGCGUUUGGUGACUCGCAGCUGUAUUCGUCUUUGGCUCUCCCCUUGCCACGCAGCAUAAGACUUCUGAGGGCAGGGCCCUUGUCUUGGUCAUCUUUGUUCACAGGUGGUUGGAUUUUGAGUCUCUAAACUGGACCUGGCCUCCCAGCUGGACUAAGAGAAUAUGCUGAGGGUCCAAGAUCUACAGGACAUUGACAGCACAGGGGCCAGGAGAGGGCCCUGCUUUGGGAAAAACAGAACAAAUCUCAGUGCUCCUCAAAGCCUGCUCUUGCGCUCCCCCAAGACUAAGUAGAGGCAUGCUAAGUAUUCCCAUUCGUCAACUGAUCCUUGCAUGCCUUGGGCUGUGGUCUCCCCAUCCUGGCUCUCUUCCUCUGAACAUGCUGCAGCUUAUCCUGUUGUCUCUGCCUGGUGAAAGGUUUUUUUCUUUAAUAAAACAUCCUCU